AUUGAACGCUGGCGGCAUGCUUUACACAUGCAAGUCGAACGGCAGCGCGGGCUUCGGCUUGGAGGCGAAUGGCGAACGGGUGAGUGAUACAUCGGAACGUGCUCUGUAGUUGGGGAUAGCUCGGCGAAAGCCGGAUUAAUAUCGCAUACGAUCUGAGGGUGAAAGCGGGGGAUCUUCGGACAACGCGCUAUUGGCAUGGCUGAAGGCGGAUUAGCUAAUUGGUGGGGUAAAGGGCCAACAAGGGGAUGAUCCGGAGGCGGGCUGAGAGGGCGGACGGCCACCACGGGAAUGGGACACGGGCCAGACUCCUAAGGGAGGCAGCAGGGGGGAAUUUUUGGAAAAGGGCGAAAGUCUGACCGAACAAAGCCGCGUGAGGGAAGAAGGUCUUCGGAUUGUAAAACUCUGUUGGGGGAGAAGAAAAAUGGUGGGACAAAAACCCCGAUCCAAUGACGGUACCCAAAAAGAAAGGACCGGCUAACUACGUG
rnacentral:rRNA from 1 species